AUUGAACGCUGGCGGCAGGCCUAACACAUGCACGUCGAGCGGAGCGGCGGACGGGUGAGUAAUGCCUAGGAAUCUGCCUGGUAGUGGGGGCUAACGUACGGUAACGGGAGAUGAUACCGCAUACUAUCAGAUGAGCCUAGGUCGGAUUAGCUAGUUGUGGGGGGAAAGGCCUACCAAGGCGACGAACAGUAACUGGUCUUAGAGGAUGAGCAGUCACACUGGAACUGAGACACGGUCCAGACUCCUACGGGAGGCAGCAGUGGGGAAUAUUGGACAAUGGGCGAAAGCCUGAUCCAGCCAUGCCGCGUGUGUUAAGAAGGUCUUCGGAUUGUAAAGCACUUUAAGUUGGGAGGCGUUACCAACAGAAUAAGCACCGGCUAACUUCGUGCCAGCAGCCGCGGUAAUAC
rnacentral:rRNA from 1 species